UUAAUGAAAAGUAUUAUCAAGAUUUUAUUUGAUUUUCAUAUAUGAAUUUUAGAAGUAUUGGCGGUAUUUGGUUAAAUUCUGAGGAACUUGUCUAUUUAAUUUGAUAUUACUCAUUAAAUUUUAUCUAUAAUUUUUUUUUAUGUAUUGCUGUUUAAUUUAUUAUUUAUUAUUUAAAUAAAUGGGGUUAAUUUUAAAAUAAAAAAUUCAAGUCAAAAUGUAGAUUUUUAUAGGUUUAGAUGAGUUACUUUUAUAUUGUAAUAUGAAACUGUAAAGUUAGUUGAAAUGUCUAAUGAAAUAUGAAGGUUGGAUUAGGGAGUAAAAAAGAAAUAAUUAGUUUUUUUGAUAUUUUAUAUCAAUAUGU
rnacentral:rRNA from 1 species